rnacentral:rRNA from 1 species
GAAUAUUGGACAAUGGGCGCAAGCCUGAUCCAGCCAUACCGCGUGGGUGAAGAAGGCCUUCGGGUUGUAAAGCCCUUUUGUUGGGAAAGAAAAGCAGUCGGCUAAUACCCGGUUUUUCUGACUGUACCCAAAGCAUAAUCCCCGGACACAUUCGUGCCAGCAGCCGCGGUAAUACGAAGGGUGCAAGCGUUAAUCGGAAUUACGGGGCGUAAAGCGUGCGGAGGUGGUUGUUGAAGUCUGUUGUGAAAGCCCUGGGCUCAACCUGGGAAUUGCAGUGGAUACUGGCGACUAGAGUGUGGUAGAGGGUAGUGGAAUUCCCGGUGUAGCAGUGAAAUGCGUAGAGAUCGGGAGGAACAUCCAUGGCGAAGGCAGCUACCUGGACCAACACUGACACUGAGGCACGAAAGCGUGGGGAGCAAACAG